UACGUAGGGACCAAGCGUUGUUCGGAUUUACUGGGCGUAAAGGGCGCGUAGGCGGCGUGACAAGUCACUUGUGAAAUCUCCGGGCUUAACCCGGAACUGCCAAGUGAUACUGUCGUGCUAGAGUGCGGAAGGGGCAAUCGGAAUUCUCGGUGUAGCGGUGAAAUGCGUAGAUAUCGAGAGGAACACCUGAGGUGAAGACGGGUUGCUGGGCCGACACUGACGCUGAGUGCGCGAAAGCUAGGGGAGCAAACGGG
rnacentral:rRNA from 1 species